CAUCAAUAAAUAACUCACGGUGCUCUUGUUAUGACGUGUUAAUCGCGCGGUGCCCGCAAUGCUAAUGAACGCUGAGUAAGAUCUUCAUAGUAAUAGAACCGCGCGGGAGUAUCGCGAUUCUAUUUUCUGGCGGUUGGGUUGCGGAAACCGUGCGGUUUGAUUAACCGCGCGGGUAUGUCUGA